rnacentral:lncRNA from 1 species
CUGUUAUUAGGCAAGAAAUCUGGGCAAUCAGCACAUUCAGAGCUGGACGUCAGAGCAGCAGCUGGGGGAACCUGCAAUACCAGACUUGGAGACAGCAUUUCAGUUACCUCUCCACUGUCAGCCUUGAAAGUGGUGCCAUCGCUCUCUUCCAGCACGAUAUUCCAAUACUGGAAGCUUUGGGAGCUGAUUAAGGAGAGCCCAGGCAUCUCUCUUAAAUGGAGAUAGGAGAAGGGAUGAGAAGUUUUGCAAACCCUUGGAUAAAGAAUAUGUAAAUGUCAUUGUCUUUAAUAGAGACAUCAUUUAUCCGACUUUAAAU